AAUCCCAGCAGAUCCAGUGUCCCAGCAAUCCCAGCAGAUCCAGUGUCCCAGCAAUCCCAGCAGAUCCAGUGUCCCAGCAAUCCCAGCAGAUCCAGUGUCCCAGCAAUCCCAGAGGAAUCCAAUGUCCCAGGUGUCCCAGCAAAAUUCAAUGUCCCAUUAAUCUCAGUUGAGUCCCAGUGUCCCAGCAAUCCCAGAGGAAUCUAGUGUCCCAGGAAGGGCACAGCUGCAACCUGCUCUUUCCUUUUCUGAUGGAUUUUGUCCCCUCCAGCAGCAGGGAGAGGGGAGAUCUGCGCCCCAACCACAUUAUGAAGGAGAGAGGGGUAACCCUGUCGUAUUCCCACAUGCCCCUCAGCCCUUUGUCAACAGGAGCACUGGAGCAUUCCAGGGAUAAACACCAGCAAUCCCAGCAGAUCCAGUGUCCCAGCAAUCCCAGCAGAUCCAGUGUCCCAGCAAUCCCAGAGGAAUCCAAUGUCCCAGGUGUCCCAGCAAAAUUCAGUGUCCCAUUAAUCUCAGUUGAGUCCCAGUGUCCCAGCAAUCCCAGAGGAAUCCAGUGUCCCGGUAUCCCAGUAACCCUAGUAGAAUCCAGAGUCCCAGUAAUCCCAGCAGAGUCCCAGUGUCCCAGCAAUCCCAGCAAAAUCCAGUGUCCCAGUAAUCCCAGUAAUCCCAGCACAAUCAGUGUCCCAGCAAUCCCAGAGGAAUCCAGUGUCCCAGUAAUCCCAGCAGAAUCCAGUGUCUCAGCAAUCCCAGAGGAAUCCAGUGUCCCAGUAGUCCCAGUAACCCUAGCAGAAUCCAGUGUCCCAGGUGUCCCAGCAAAAUCCAGUGUCCCAUUAAUCCCAGUAAUCCCAUUUGAGAUGCCAGUAAUCCCAGCAGAUCCAGUGUCCCAUUAAUCCCAGCAGAGAUCCCAGUAAUCCCAGCAGAUCCAGUGUCCCAGGUGUCCAUCAGAACCCGAGCUUGCCUGGGGUGUGGGACCCUGUGGAGUUGGGGCGGGAAGCUGGGCAGGGGAUGGGGGGGCGGUAGCAGAGAUGGGAUGUGGGAAGGGGCCAGGAGGAAACCUGGCUGAGGGGGAAAUCCCAAAUUUCCCCUCGGAUGUGUCCUGAUAGUGACCCUCGGGUGAACCUCCCGGUGUGUGGGAGCCUAAUCCUGAGCCAGGGCCACUGCAGGGGGGCAGGUGACCCUGGACACCCAGGAAAGCUUUUCUGGGAGACACCCCAGCUUCUGUGGCCAGUAAGGAGCUCGGGGUUCCUUUGGCUGGGCCCUCUGGGGGAUAGCAGGUCCUGCUGGGCAGCAGAGCCGAGCUCUCCCUCACCAUGGCCAUGAAAGAUGCAGGAGGCCUUGAUUAAUACCCUUCAGGAAAUCAUCAAUCAUUGAUGCUGAGCUGGGAGCUCUGCAGAGGCACCGCUCCAGCUUGGCCCUCUGCUCCUCUGGCAGCACUGCCAGGGAGGUGGAGGGGUGGGACACACCCCACAGCCACCCCCAGCCACCCUACAGCCACCCCCAGUCACCCUACAUCCACCCCCAGCCAUCCCACAAACACACCCAGCCACCCUACAGCCACCCCACAGCCACCCUACAGCCACCCCCAGCCAUCCCACAAGCCCCCCCCCCCCCCCCCCCCCCCCCCCCCCCCCCCCCCCCCCCCCCCCCCCCCCCCCCCCCCCCCCCCCCC
rnacentral:lncRNA from 1 species